rnacentral:rRNA from 1 species
UACGAAGGGGGCUAGCGUUGUUCGGAAUUACUGGGCGUAAAGCGUAUGCAGGCGGAUCGUUAAGUCGGGGGUGAAAUCCCGAGGCUCAACCUCGGAACUGCCUUCGAUACUGGCGAUCUUGAGUCCGGGAGAGGUGAGUGGAACUCCGAGUGUAGAGGUGAAAUUCGUAGAUAUUCGGAAGAACACCAGUGGCGAAGGCGGCUCACUGGCCCGGUACUGACGCUGAGAUACGAAAGCCAGGGGAGCAAACGGG